rnacentral:rRNA from 1 species
UACGUAGGGUGCAAGCGUUGUCCGGAAUUAUUGGGCGUAAAGGGCUCGUAGGCGGUUCGUCGCGUCUGCUGUGAAAACCUGAGGCUCAACCUCAGGCCUGCAGUCGAUACGGGCGGACUUGAGUACUGCAGGGGAGACUGGAAUUCCUGGUGUAGCGGUGAAAUGCGCAGAUAUCAGGAGGAACACCGGUGGCGAAGGCGGGUCUCUGGGCAGUAACUGACGCUGAGGAGCGAAAGCGUGGGGAGCGAACAGG